rnacentral:rRNA from 1 species
GACGAACGCUGGCGGCGUGCUUAACACAUGCAAGUCGAACGCUGAAGCUUGGUGCUUGCACUGGGUGGAUGAGUGGCGAACGGGUGAGUAAUACGUGAGUAACCUGCCCUUGACUCUGGGAUAAGCCUGGGAAACUGGGUCUAAUACUGGAUACGACAUGUCACCGCAUGGUGGUGUGUGGAAAGGGUUUUACUGGUUUUGGAUGGGCUCACGGCCUAUCAGCUUGUUGGUGGGGUAAUGGCUCACCAAGGCGACGACGGGUAGCCGGCCUGAGAGGGUGAGGGCACAGAGGUGGCGUGGAGCACGGCCAGUGGCGGUGGGGGAGGGAGGGGUGGGGAAGAGUGAGGAGGGGGGGUCAGCCGGGAGGGUGGCCGGGGCGUGGGAGAUGAUGGGGUGGGGAUGGCAAAACGCGAGCAGAAAAGAAGAAGAAAGGGUGACGGGACUGGCAGAAGCAGCGCCGGCUAAAGCCGGGCAAGAAGCAAGGGUAAAAGAUCGAAAAACAAACAUAUAAAC